GCUAGCCCUAGCCCGUCGUCCUCCCCAACCCUGCCUCCGCGCCGCCGCUGCUGGUGACGGCGUCGCCACAGCCGUCGUCGUCCGCCGCCGCCAAUCGAUUCCCUGCUCGGCUGCCUCUUGGGAGGAGAAGGGCGCAGGAGAGCAGGAGGAAGAAGGAAUUUGGGGAUUUCGGUCAUUUUGCAACUAGCGGGUUUGUUCUCAAAUUCUAGUAUCCACGCUGCAGCGGUACUUUUGGCUACUCCCUAGAAGUAUAAGAUUCAAAUAGAAAUUUAUUCGAUAGUCGUUUGUGCAAUUUUUGAAGUUAUUGAUUAUAGGCUAAAACCGUAUUUUCAAAUCUGAUAUUAAACCGUCGGGAUUCAGGUUAGUUGUCCUAAAUAAAGUUUGUAGCCAUCGUCGAUAUCUUUC